GUGGAGGAAGAGAAACAUCCUGACGCUCAAGCGGCAGUUUCGGUCGGAUGGUACAUUUACAGUUCUUUCUAAACCUUCAGAUAGCCCACUAGGGCCGAACAAUCUAGGGAAUAAUCUGGCGGGUGUGUAGUCGAGACCGAACAGAUCUUAGUCGGAGCUUGGAACUGUUCGAUGGAGUGGCGAGAGCAAUCAUCCAUCAGCUGCGAUUCUGCCUUCUUGGAGGCACAGAUAUGGGUGGAGCUGGAAGCAAUCAGGCUACCGAAAGCGCAUCAUUUGGCGACGUCAUCAGCACUCCACCCACAAGUCUCCAGAAAAUGUGUCGGAGCAAGAGGCAUCUUUUUUCAUUAAACGUUCCUAGUGUGUGAGGAAAGUGUUUGCUGGCUUCAUAAAUGCUAGCCAGCUAGCUUAUUAGGAUUUUUUUUGGGGGGGGGGGGCUAGAGUUAAGUGAACCACUUUACAAAGCUUGCAGGCUAGUUAUAGAGUUUAGCUGGCUAGUUAGCUACAGUAGUUGGCUACUGCCAUCAAGUUGUUGUUUUGUUAUCAUAUUUGGCCUGUUCCACCGUUUGCAGAAUGCAUACAGGCAUUUGAUUAUAGUGCGGGAAAAGGGAAUAGGGACACAAUGUGGGCAAGGUAGACACAUUUAAAUGUAGGUGUAGACGCAUGACGUGUUCAGAAUUUCAUGAUCAGAAUCAAAAGCUGCAUAAACUGUCAAGUGUAGACACGGCCAGAGACUCAUUAGUCUAUACCAGUGGUUCUCAACUGGUUUUGCCUGGUGACCCAAAAUUGACAUGGACAAUUGAGUCACGACCCAAUAUUUUGGACUGUUGAUGAAUACAUUUUAUGAUGUUGUAUUGCAGAUGUCUUUUUGGGCAGGCUGCAAUAGACUGUCUAAAUGGGCUACCAUUAUGGUAUUAAAGAAAGUCAUUAAACAGCCAUAUUACUGAGAACAUGUAUAAUAAAUUCAAGAGAAUAAGCCAUUUUAAUUAGGAGACCAGUUCAGGAGUGGGGUGUAAUACAUUAUCAGAAUCAGAACAUAACAUCAAGACCAGGCCAAUAAUGUUAAUGAACAGUAACACA